GAGACAUUUGCGUUGGGUAUAGCGAUGAGUUCCUCGAGGAACGCAUCGUCAGUUCGAAGUGACCUGAAAAGACAAGCGUUUCGCCUUUUCAAGCCACGUGUGUGGGCUAUGAAGAGACGUAAUAAUUGCCUAGGGAAACGGCUCUUUAUUGCGUCGUUUUUCGAGGAGGCGCGUGGGCCGUUGGAUCAACGCGUCCUUUGGUUUUCUGAGAGAUUACAUCAGAGUCGUUUGAUGGGUUUGAUCUGGACCGUGGGAUGUUGAUCAACGGUGGUGAUAG
rnacentral:lncRNA from 1 species